rnacentral:ribozyme from 1 species
UGCCUAGCAACUCCUAUCCCUACCUCCUCGUGGUACUGGCUGGGGUUCGAGUAACCUUAGGGAAGAUCUGGUAAUCAAUCCUAGUGAAAACUUUGGUCGUAUGCUGACAGGGAAGG